rnacentral:rRNA from 1 species
CAGCAGCCGCGGGAAAACGGAGGGUGCAAGCGUUAAUCGGAAUUACUGGGCGUAAAGCGCACGCAGGCGGUCUGACAAGUCAGAUGUGAAAUCCCCGGGCUUAACCUGGGAACUGCAUUUGAAACUGUCAGGCUGGAGUCUUGUAGAGGGGGGUAGAAUUCCAGGUGUAGCGGUGAAAUGCGUAGAGAUCUGGAGGAAUACCGGUGGCGAAGGCGGCCCCCUGGACAAAGACUGACGCUCAGGUGCGAAAGCGUGGGGAGCAAACAGGAUUAGAUACCCCUGUAGUCCCUGUCUCUUAUAA